ensembl:lncRNA
UCAGCAGCUUGGAACAGCAGUCGUACUGCUAUGGGCUACUAACCCCAACGUGUUCCAAGAGUUUGGCUGGAAGCCCUAAAAGCAGUGCAAGAGAAACAAACCUAUACUCUCUCUAUACACCUGCAAUGCUCUGCCUUGAAAUGAGAGAGGACUGGCAAAGCCUGUGAAGCACAUUGGAAGCAUUGUGUUAUUGCUGCCUUCCUGCUGAGCUCGCUGAGCGACCACUAAUGCCUGGCACUGCUGCGGCACUGCUCCAGCGGGACAUGAGCUCUCUCAAAACAACUGAGUUUCCAGCGGUUGGGUUACUGCCAGCUGAACCAACGGGAUUUAAAAUAAACACGAGUUUCUGCACCAGUUGCAGAGCGCCAGAUGCGCUGAGCCCACCAAGGGGGCAGUGCCGGGAAGCAGCCCCCCACAGCACAUGCAGCCAGCUGGGCUUGGGGUCACCGUGCUCAUUUCCUCUGCUGAAGGGCUCUUCAUUGCACACAGCAAUCUUGGAUUAUGAAGGAGCAUGGGCCACAGCUCAACUGUUUCAAGUGCUGCCAAGAAAAAAAGGGGACUUGGGCAAAGGCCAAGCUAGCCAAGCACAGAAUUGCCAAACCAAGGCUUUCAAUAAAUCAGUUCCCAGAAAGUCAUGAGACUGGCAAUUAAAAAAAUAUAUACAAUCAUGAGACUUUAAUAAUAGUUUGGGGUUCUCUUUAUUUCCUUUCUGUGCUCUUAUUUCUUUUCUUUUCAAGCCUGGGAAAAGAACUUUUUGCUUGCUUCUUCUCUGAUGCUCAAUUCCUCACUUACCAUCUGAUUUUGAAAUGACGGAAAGAGCGCUUUGAUUAAAAUGUUAUAGAAAUUGUAACGUGUGGCAGCUUUGAGUACACCACUGUUCAGGUUCCAGGUGCGAUCUGCAUGCUCCUAGGCUGGCAGAGAAAGGGAUCAUUUCUCCUAAUUCAGUUACACCACUGGAGACAAAACAUAACUGAUAAGCUUAUUCCAAACCAGACUGCUGCACAG